AACGAACGCUGGCGGCAGGCUUAACACAUGCAAGUCGAACGCAUCCUUCGGGGUGAGUGGCAGACGGGUGAGUAACGCGUGGGAACGUGCCCUUCAGUUCGGGAUAACCCAGGGAAACUUGGGCUAAUACCGGAUACGUGCGAGAGCAGAAAGAUUUAUCGCUGAAGGAUCGGCCCGCGUCUGAUUAGCUAGUCGGUGGGGUAAUGGCCCACCAAGGCGACGAUCAGUAGCUGGUCUGAGAGGAUGAUCAGCCACAUUGGGACUGAGACACGGCCCAGACUCCUACGGGAGGCAGCAGUGGGGAAUAUGGGACAAUGGGCGCAAGCCUGAUCCAGCCAUGCCGCGUGAGUGAUGAAGGCCUUAGGGUUGUAAAGCUCUUUCGUCCGGGACGAUAAUGACGGUACCGGAAGAAGAAGCCCCGGCUAACUUCGUGCCAGCCGCCGCAGUAA
rnacentral:rRNA from 1 species